rnacentral:rRNA from 1 species
CAGGCCUAACACAUGCAAGUCGAACGCCCCGCAAGGGGAGUGGCAGACGGGUGAGUAACGCGUGGGAACCUACCUCAUGGUACGGAACAACCAAGGGAAACUUUGGCUAAUACCGUAUGAGCCCGAGAGGGGAAAGAUUUAUCGCCAUGAGAUGGGCCCGCGUCGGAUUAGCUAGUUGGUGAGGUAAAGGCUCACCAAGGCGACGAUCCGUAGCUGGUCUGAGAGGAUGACCAGCCACACUGGGACUGAGACACGGCCCAGACUCCUACGGGAGGCAGCAGUGGGGAAUAUUGGACAAUGGGCGCAAGCCUGAUCCAGCCAUGCCGCGUGUGUGAUGAAGGCCUUAGGGUUGUAAAGCACUUUCGCCGAUGAAGAUAAUGACGGUAGUCGGAGAAGAAGCCCCGGCUAACUUCGUGCCAGCAGCCGCGGUAAUACGAAGGGGGCAAGCGUUGUUCGGAUUUACUGGGCGUAAAGCGUACGUAGGC